UACGUAGGGUGCAAGCGUUAAUCGGAAUUACUGGGCGUAAAGCGUGCGCAGGCGGCUUUGCAAGACAGAUGUGAAAUCCCCGGGCUCAACCUGGGAACUGCAUUUGUGACUGCAUGGCUAGAGUGCGGCAGAGGGGAUGGAAUUCCGCGUGUAGCAGUGAAAUGCGUAGAUAUGCGGAGGAACACCGAUGGCGAAGGCAAUCCCCUGGGCCUGCACUGACGCUCAUGCACGAAAGCGUGGGGAGCAAACAGG
rnacentral:rRNA from 1 species